rfam:Pseudomonas stutzeri strain 28a24, complete genome.
GAACGCCUGGAGGGUGCGCAGUCGAUCAUCGUAUGCUGCGGCGCUUGGUUCCUGACGUUC